UUGGAUUAUCCAUGGCCAUACAGGUUUGAACUGAUUUGUCUCAACUGCCUCCCUCCACUCACAGGAAUAUUAUCUUACCAUCAGUUUGAAAUUCAAAUGCCUUGAUUCGUGGAGGCCUGAUUUUGACACAUUUCAAUCCUAUACUCGGUUGCAACACAUUCCGGUGGCGUCCUUGAUCAAACACAGGUCCCUUCUGGCUUCUUCGUCGACAUGCCCGGCAGUGAAGUGUGAACGCACUCUGAACGGUCCUGUGUCUCCUCCUUCCGUCAGUAAUGGAUGUAAGCGGGUUCCUCUGGGACUUUUCUCGCCUAAUUCAAAACAAACUGGAAGUGUUUGGCAUCCUCCCUCGCAUAGAAGAUAGUUGUAUAUAAAUCUUCUAAUUAUUAAAAUACAAACCCACAGUGUUUGAUAAAAUGCACCAAUGAAGAAAUUUACUUCCGCAUUCAAAAUAUCUUCGAACAAAUGUGCUCGAUCAGAUUUAUUAGCAGGUAUACAUGUUUGUUUCUCAAAAUUUUUUCUUCACUUGAUUAUUCACGGUCUUAAGUAUUUAUAUCACUGAGCUUUCUUGGGUUUUUCACAGUAUUUAACAUGGAUUUGCACCAAUGGUCAACCGUGCGAUUGAUGUUUCAAUGAGAUAUUCUAUGUUUUGCUUUCCUGAGGUUUUCUAGGAUACAGUAUAAUGUGGCAUUCUGGCUUACUGUUUGUUCAUUUACAGAUAUCAUCUGGUGUUAAUGGAUGCAACAGGUCAAUUAAACUAUGGAUAGCUGCUUACUGUUUGGUCACAAGAUCUGGAUGGAAGAGGACAGUGCUUGGACCUUAAUGAGAGAAAGAAAAAGAUGGAAGGAGAAGAAACAUGAUCUCUCUGGCUUUGCAAAUCAUUCUACAAUAUUUCAGACAGUUAUUAUCCCAAGACUAAGAAAGCAAGAUAUGAUUGAACUGGGGAGAUGUUUCAGGUUGCUGUGAGUUGUAGUGAUUGGGAAUACAUGGCUUGCUGUCUGAUAUUCACACAAGGUGAGUGUGUAUUUCUGCUUGAUCAUCCUUACAUUAUUAAAUUCUGAAUUUUUGGGCCAUGGUUGUCCAUGUCCUUCCAUUACCGGAAGUGCUACAGCUACAACAUACAUGUCAAGAGUUGAUGCAAGUUACUCAAAUUUUAUCUUAGUGCAUUCGAAUCCCGACAUUCGAAUGACAGGUUUUACGGUCAAGCUUUCUAUCUCUUGACAAAUUAUAAUGUGUCUCAUUAGUAUGUCAUGCAAGUUAUAAUGUUGAUCAGCUUUGUUAUGAAAUUCUCUGUAUAGACAUGUAAUGUACUUGCCAUUGACAAGGCUGUCGC